GCCCGGGUGGCGGAACUGGCAGACGCAGGGGGCUUAAACCCCCCGGCCCUUCGGGGCGUGCGGGUUCGAACCCCGCCCCGGGCACCA
rnacentral:tRNA from 1 species